rnacentral:rRNA from 1 species
AUUGAACGCUGGCGGCAUGCUUUACACAUGCAAGUCGAACGGUAACAGGGAGCUUGCUCCGCUGACGAGUGGCGAACGGGUGAGUAAUGCGUCGGAACGUGCCGAGUAGUGGGGGAUAACGCAUCGAAAGGUGUGCUAAUACCGCAUACGUACUGAGGUAGAAAGUGGGGGACCUUCGGGCCUCACGCUAUUCGAGCGGCCGACGUCUGAUUAGCUAGUUGGUGAGGUAAAAGCUCACCAAGGCGACGAUCAGUAGCGGGUCUGAGAGGAUGGUCCGCCACACUGGGACUGAGACACGGCCCAGACUCCUACGGGAGGCAGCAGUGGGGAAUUUUGGACAAUGGGCGCAAGCCUGAUCCAGCCAUGCCGCGUGUCUGAAGAAGGCCUUCGGGUUGUAAAGGACUUUUGUCCGGGAGCAAAUGCUGGUGGCUAACAUCCACCGGAGCUGAGAGUACCGGAAGAAUAAGCACCGGCUAACUACGUGCCAGCAGCCGCCGUAAAAC